rnacentral:rRNA from 1 species
UUACCAUUCUUCUUCGAACAGCCAGACAGGUGGGCAUGUGCGUCAGCUCGUGUCGUGAGAUGUGGGUAAGUCCCGCAACGAGCGCAACCCUACUUCAGUAGCCAGCAUUUGGAUGGGCACUCUGGAGGGACUGCCCGGGAUAACCGGGAGGAAGGCGGGGAUGACGUCAAAUCAUCAUGCCCCUUACGAUCUGGGCUACACACGUGCUACAAUGGCGGAUACAAAGAGAAGCGAAGCUGUGAGGCCUAGCAAAGCUCAAAAACUCCGUCUCAGUUCGGAUUGUAGUCUGCAACUCGACUACAUGAAGCUGGAAUCGCUAGUAAUCGCGAAUCAGAACGUCGCGGUGAAUACGUUCCCGGGUCUUGUACACACCGCCCGUCACACCAUGGGAGCUGGAAAUGCCCAAAGUACGUGACUCAACCUUCGGGAGAGAGCGUCCUAAGGCAGGUCUGGUAACUGGGGUGAAGUCGUAACAAGGUAGCCGUAUCGGAAGGUGC